CGGAGCCGCCGAUCGCUACCAAGCAAUAAGAGUUUGUCAAUUUUGAGAAAACGCCAAUCUCGUUAUUAUUUUCGAAUUGUACACGAACUGCCAUGAUUGCGAUCGCACAGUUAUUACAUCAGCGUGAGCAACAAGAGUUAAAAUCUCGGGGAACGGUUUGUGUUCGGUAAAUUUGUAACACGCUAACCUCGAAAAUUUUCAAGUGCCGCUACUUUCUGUCGCGGAGCACGAGGGCGCGGAGUGAAGUACGCGCUCGAAACAAUCGAUUCUCGCGCGAGAUACACAAUUCGAGAGUAUCGAGAAUGACGUGGCGCGCGACUAUCCGCCAUUACGCGAUAAGCUAUCGAUGGGUACAGUGCAUCUCCAAUUUUACGAUUUCUGUGUUCUUGGAAAAAUUGUGAUUUUUUUGUGAUUUUACCCUGCAUAUCGUCUCCAUUGCGCUGGGAUUUUGUCAUCGAUCUGGCAGAGUCGGAUUCUGGAGAUCUCCUUUCAUCGAUCAGGUACAUACUUAAUAAUUCGUGCAACUGGAUGGAAUAAAACAGCAGAAUAAAUAAACAUACAAGGAGGAAGGUGCGGAAAGUCUUGAUUCAGAGUGCAAGUUCAGCUACGGUCAUCCCGGGCAUCGUAGCGCGCAAUAAUUCACUCUUGGUCGUGCGGCAGCCUCUGGAAAUGGAGUCACCGCCUAUCCCCUACUCUCGACGUCGAGAGGGUAGGUAGGGAUCUCGCCCGGCUUAAACGGGUUUGCGUAUCCUCGAUGAGGGGUAAAUUAAGUUAUGGCGCGAAAACAACCUCCCCGACCGAGCUCGCUCUCGCCUCGCCGAUCUGCGAUAAAUAUGUAUAUAUACGCGUUUUAUGUCAUCGGAGGUAUCCUAUGUCACGUGGAGUGACGAAAUGUCUAGAAGGGAGGGACGCGGUUGACCGGCAGAAUAUUCCGGACUGUUGAUGAACGACUUCUCGUGAAUAAAAAUUUUCCUCUCGCGCGGCAUUUUUUUUCUCCCGGCGUGCUCCCUCGUUUUUUCACCUCGCUCUCUCACCCUCUGGCCGCCGUCGCCUGGAUGCGCAGAACGCGUCCAGGAUUUAACGCAGAUUAAUCUGUUUGUUGAUCCGGACUCUUCUACCCCAUCCUCUUCUUCCCCUGGUUCUUUCCCUUUCCCUCUCUCUCUCUCGCGCGCGCGCGCGCGCGUUCUCGUUUCUCCACCGAUUUAGCGGACUCCAGCGAGUGACGGCUGGCAUUUCAUCAUAUAUUCCGCUUGGUGGACGAGGCAUCCCCGUCUGCUCUCUUUUUCCGUUCUUUUUAACUCUGCAGCAUCAUUUGCUCGCAUUUCUCUCGGGCAAUGAUGAAGAACGACAGGUUUGAGCGGGAUAAACGAAAUUUCGUCGGUUGUAUCGUUAACGUAAGAGAAUCUUGCGAAUAAUCAAAUGCGAAAAGGGAAAAAUGUCAGCCGGAAUUUUUUCAUUUCUAACGCGAACGGUUCGAUAACUCGACACGUGAAAACAAAGGGGACCUUUGUGAAAGGAGGAACCUGAAGAAUUGAUUAUCGCGUGGCCGAUGACGUGACGAGGGCGGAGCCACACAAUUAACAUCAAAAGUUCGCCUAUCGCCACUUAAUGAUCAGCCAGCAGCGUGGAACAAUUCUACCGAAUUUGUCAGAAUUUCCGUAGGGUUGAUGGGUCGAUCCUCUGGUGAAUGAAGAUGAUGAUUUUCAAUCAUUUAUCGGACAGCGCCGAUCGCGAAUAAUUUAUGAUCAAGUGCCUCCUUCUUGUCAUACUUAAUUUAAUAUUUUUUAAAUGACAGAUUGACAAGAGGGAAGAAUAGAGGAACGACGGUACUAGAAUGAAAAUUCGCCCAAUAAUUGUAAAUAGCGUAAUCAGUGAAUUAGAUAAAACCUAUAAAAAUUUUAAUAAUUUUGAA